CCAACCUUUUUUGUUUUACCCUUCUAUUUUUAAAUAUCCCCACAUUACCCUUUUCAAAUGUGAAAAGGAAGAAUGAAGAUGUAAGGUUACGCCAUUUUCCCCCUAAACAGAGCACGAAGAAGAAGAGGAAGAGGAAGAGAAAGUGAGAGAGAAUGGCGAAGCGUUUUGCGAAAAUCGGAGUUCUUCAGGAGGAGAAGCGAGUGGAGGAAGCAUCCAAGGCUCAGCAAUCAGCGCUGCCAUGCCCUUCUCGGUCUUGUCCUCGGAGUCGGCGAGCAAGUCUACAACAAACUCCUCCUUCCUCUUCUGCUUCUUCUUCUUCUCACCACUCUUCCCAUUCCUCUACUUCUCACUGACUCACUGAGACAACUAAAACAAUAACCUCAUCAGGAUGAUGGAUCUGUUGUAUGUAUAUUUUCUCUUUCUGGAAGUAAUGCCAAGAUGGACAUUUAGCUGCUGGUCGUAAUGGUGUAAAGCGCCUAAGAACUAUAAGUUCUCAUCUGUUUUACUCUUUGAUGUGGUCAGACAUCCAAAUAUUUUAUCAUUCCUUUAUAGUAUGGAGACUAAAACUUUUCAUGGUAAUACGACAAAGGUUGCUAUCUAUAUUGUCAUGGAACCUGUUGUUCCACUAUUAGAAAAGAUCAAGGAACUAAAUUUGGAAGGUACAUAAAGGAAUAUAGAUUGAAGAAAAUGGAUAGGAAAGUGAAGAAAAUGAAAAGAUUUGUCGCUGCUACAACACAACUAUUACAAGAGCAGGAAGUGCUGAUGAAGCUUGAGCAAACUCUGAGGAGAAUACAAGUCAAUGCUCAGGUAGAUCGUGUGAACUUGCUUGAGUUCCAGCAGAUGGUGAUGUGCCAACAUCAAGAAAUGAGAAAUUUAAAAGAUUUGUGUCCAUGGAAUAGAACUUUCAUGCAGAUGAGUCAUGUUGCACCUUUUAAAGGAUGCAUGGUGGGUGGAAUUGAUUCUUCCGUUGAAGAGAUAUGCAAGCCAACCAUUGGUGGUUCAAUGCAGUUGAGAAAUGUUAGUAUUGAAUUGGUUGUGAGUCAAGUCUUCCACAAGGCUAUUUAUUGUUCACAAAAGAGAAUUAAAGCCAUAAAUUUCCACUUCAUUCCAUGAAAGUUGUUUUAACCAUCUAGUUUGACAUUUUUUUUUCUUUUUUUCAAAGGCAAAGCUUCCAAUGGUAUUGAGUUACUUUCAUGGCUUUUGAAAAAUUCUUUUAUUUGUUGAUAUGGUGGAUGAAUUCAGGUCCAAUAGCCGUUUUCUUAUGAAGCAUA